rnacentral:lncRNA from 1 species
AGAAAAUUAGAGAUGAUCUGAGCAACUCUUUAUUGUGCAGGUGACAAAAAAUGAAGGUGGGGGAGGGGUUAGUUUUAUUCAUUUCCAUAUCAGAGUUGGCAAUUGAAGAAUGCAAUGGAAACCAAGGUAAAAAAGGCAGGGGUGUAUGUUAUAUACAUACAACAUUGUAAAUAGAUGCAUUUUGAGAUGCGGGUCCGGUCUUGCAGAAGUUAGAGAACAACUUAAGAUCAGUCCAAACCAGGUUUCAUUUCCAUGAAUACAUGGAGUUAAGACUAACAGAACCUGGCUUAGCACUUAGCUGAUCCUCUUUCCUACCCAAAUUCCUUCUAACCACAGACAACAUGACCUGUUGUUAGAAACCACCCUUCACAGAUCUGUGUCUUUCCUUCUUAGCUAGAGAGUCUGUUGGCAGUCAGUGCAGGAUCACAAUAACCCACAAACUUCUAUCCUUCUUCUGUUUCCAUGCACUCCCUUGCUUUCUCUCUGUUUUAAUUGCCUGAAUUUUAGAGCCUGUGAUAAGAACUUAGGGAUAAUGUCACACAGUUCAGGAAUCCCUCCACUGAUUGUGGGCUGUGCCCUACCAGUGACGAUAGCAGGAUUUGGUCCAUUAGGAGAACAUGAAUUUCUCAGUACCGCCAGACCCUCAUGAGAAUAUUAUGCUGUGUACACUUCUACAAGCUGGUUGGAUUUCACAUCCUUCUGCAGUGUACCACCCAAUCUCAAGCAAGGUCUCUGUCUAAGUGUGCUUUGUUGUUCUAUGUGACCAAAAUUUAGGAUUUCCAAAUCCAAAGUAGAAACUCACACUUUUCUUUUCCAUUCUGUGUGAUUUAAAAGAUUUAGUUUCCCUUUAAUUGCAAAAGAACAUGGUGAACAAAUAUGGAACAAAAAAUUUUUUUGUAAUCCUUUUAUACAUUUAAAAAUGUUCUACAGUGAAAAUAUGUUUGGGGAUUAGGAAAAAAUGUUUUAAAAGUCUUAUCAGGUAUAGUGGAAAUCGUCGGGCUUUGUGACAAUGUGUUUUUGUCAUAAAUCAUACUGAAUUUGGGGACUCCCCUUUUGAAUUAAGAGCAACUCCCUCAUGCAGAAAGUGGAGGUUCUGAAGGACUGAGACGCCCCUUCCCCCGCAUGAGCAGGCCCCAAGGAAACUGACCACAGAGCUCGCCCACUUCCCAGGCCUGUCUAGCCCAGACUAACUUAAUCUGCACCUGUGUAUUUUCUGCCUCUGUUUUUUCCCCCUCUUCAGGCCUAAAAGAGAAGGUGGGGGUCCUUUAGGACCCUGUGGGUGGUGUCAACAUUGGGUUUCCUUUUCUCUUGUGUUUUGCUCUGUGUGACUAACCAAAAUGCUCUUUGUUCUGUGUUCCAGAGUCAGAGACAUCCCUGCCACGCAGCUCACAGAUUUAUAACUCUGGCCAAAGGUUUCAAGGAGUACAGAUUUCUUCAAUCCAAAGUUCAUCUGUGUGUUCUCAGAAAUUAAAACAGUGCAUUUCUCCCUGCUGCUUUUUUGCCCCAGGAGCCCAGGAAGCAAGCAGGUGGAGUUCUCCAAGGACGUCUUACAGCUCUGGUGAUAAUGACUAACUCAAACAGGCUGGCGCUGCCUGGGGACUCUUAUGGGCUCUUGCUAUCGCUUUCUUUUUUCAAACUCAGAUAGUGUCAGCACAGACACAGGCAAUCCAGAUAGAGGACUGUGUCUGUUACAAUGUUUACAAGUUGGUGUCAGUGGAAAGAUCAUAACCCCAAGAUUUGAUGAAAACAUGCUUCUUGCCCAGACAAUUCAUGAUAAUGGUGCAACUGGAAAGUUCUUUUCAGAGAAAGAAUGAGUUAGAAAGAAACCAAGAGGGGCGGGCAGGGACAAGUGCUGGCACUAGGUCUUCCCAGACUUGCAACAUGAAGGAAUAUCACAAAAUUUCUGAUUUCAUAUCCACGAUGUUAAGUAAACUGGAAUCUUCAAUGGCUUCAUUACCCUGUCUUUUCUACCGCUCUUCCCAUGAGGACAGGCAACAGGGAAGGUGGGUGAAUGUCUUCAGGACCUACAGCUGUCACUGAGUAAUUUGCUUCUUAGCACCUUACAUAAAAAUGCCUGAAAAAAACAGAUAUCUCUCACCAGGGUGCCCAACAGGAGGAAUGUGGUUUGGAUAUCUGAAGUCCACUUGACAACACUAUUUGAAAAGCAUUUCACUGGAAGCCAAAAGAAUGAUGCUAAAUCCACUCUAGUGAGCAAUUUGGUGUAGAACACCCAUUUUGUAGUCCAGCCCCAAACUAGUAGAACACAUUGUCACAGUACAGUCUGAGGUACCAUAGGGUCAUGAGGCAGAGUCCAGGAAUGGGGUUGACCUUUGAAUUAUCUCAACUGGGAAGGAGUCAGUUGGCCUAUGGAAUACCUGAAAAUGAAACGCUGCUCCUCAGAGAUGGGAAACUGGCCUACCCACCAAACUGUGAUGAGAAAUUCUUGAUAAUGGAAAACCACAGUAAUGACAAUAAGUCUCAGUUCUUGAGAAGUUCACUGUCUAGUGGGGAAGCUGAUAAAAACUAACAACCCUAAAAAAUAAUAAGUGCUAUCAUAAGGGUAUGUCCAAGAGCUCUCAGAAGUUCCAAUCUAGUCAGACAGGGUCAGGGAAGACCACCACUAUAUCUGGUUAUAAAAAAUUGAAGUAAAACUGACUUAUCCUGUCUUGAAGUUGAAGCUGUCUUCCCAAUAAAUCACACUCUUCUUAAAACCAUUCCAAAGGACUUAGCUCUUCUCAUAAAAACUCUAGGUAUCUACCUGAAUCCUCAGAGAACAGAAGAAGGUUUAGAAAUGGCUUAAUGCUUAAACACAGAUUGGUGUCUUUGUUCUGUAAUUUUCAUUGUAUUUUACGAGUUACAACAUGAUAAUUCAUUGUAGGUAUACAAUUUGUAAUUAUCAAAUUAGGGUAAUUAACAUUCCCAUCUCUUUAAACAAUCACCAUUUUUGUCGGUAACAUCAAACUCCUUUCUUUUAGUUCUUUAUAAGAUUAUUAAAAAAUUGUUGUCAACUAUAGGGUGUCACUUUUUUUUUUUUUUUGCCUAUGGUUCACUGCCUUGUCUGUUGAAUGAAUAUUUUUCUUUAAGAAGCCAGUUCUUUUCUGCCUUCCAAACUGAGCACCUGCUUGUCUUCAUAUUUUUCUAUGAGAUCUCCAUCUAACUAAACUUUUCCUUCAUGAGAUAUUAUUUCUUCCAGAAGACAAAAGCAUAAUUGCUUUAAAAAAUUUGUUUGGUUUACAUUAGGUAAGAUUUUACUUCACUUGAUGUUGACUGUCUUCCCCUUCCUGCUGUCUACACAGUUCAAGGUCUCCUGAACACCAGUGCUCAAGGGGCCUGAACCUGAGCGUUACAACCAAAAACCUAGGAAUUUAUUCCCUGGAAAGCUGUCUUGAGUUGAGGAGCUUAGAAUUAGAGAAUGGGCUCUAUCACCUGGUAAACAUUAGCAUGAAGAGCAUAGGCCCUCAAAGUAGACGAUAUCUCCUAGUACUCUGAUGAUGUCAGUAGCUUAUUUCAUUUUAUCACCAAAUAAUUUUCCAUUGUUAUAAGUCUACCAGGUUUUGUUGAUUGGCAUCUGGGUCAUUCCCACUUUUUGGCUAAUAUUAAUAAUGCUGCUACAAACAUUUGUGUACAAGUGUUUGUGUGUAUAUAAAUUUUCAUUUAUGUUUCUGGGUAGACAGCUAGGAGUGAAAUUUCUGGGUCAUAUGGUAAUUGUAUGUUUACCUCUUAAGAAUUGAGAGAAAAGAGACAAAAAUGAGAACUCUCUCCAAGAAAAUGUUAAAGACUGACAGUAAAAGGAAAUCAUGAUUAGAACUGAAAGGGGCUGUCUCCAGCCAGGCUGGUUUAAUUCUGAUAAUCUGGAUAUAAUCUGAAUACAAGGAAGACUUCCUAGACAGUCUUUAGAAAACAAAACUGCAAGUAAACACUCCUUUUAGUCAUAGCAUCCUAAGAUUUUUUUUUCUUAUUCAGACAGGAAGGUAGGCAUAUUUUCUAGUCUUUUAAGUUAUUUUUACAUGACAGGUCUCUGAAGCAUUUAGGGGGAAAUGGCAUGGAUAUCACUGCCUACAGUCAAAUCUGGAUCUUGUAAAGCUAUUCUCUCCAAUAUAACGACCACUAGUUGUAUGCAGCUUUUAAAAUUCAAUUAAUUAAAAGAAAAUUUAAAAUUCCAUUCUCAGUUGCACUAGCCAUAUUUCAUGUGCCCAAUAAACAUAUAUUUUUUGUGGCUACAGUAUUGAACAGUGCAGAUGAGAAUAUUUCCUUUAUCAUAGCAACUUCUAUCAGACAGCAUUGUUUUAGGUACCAUAUUCUGGGUUCACAGCAAGAAUAGUGGCAAAUAUCCCACAAUGCAUGGGACACUCUUUACAACAAUUGACCAUUCCCAAAUAUCAACAGUGUGAAGUUUGAGAAAUGCUGUCCUAAAACAAUGAUGUCCAAGUUGGAUCAGCUUUGAUCAGAAGAUCAAAAGAAUCAACUGAACAGGUUUUUAAAACCCAUAUGCCUCCAUCCUACCUCAAAGAGUCUGGUUAAGGAAUAUGAAGAAAACUUAGGGGUUUGAGUAUUCAGAAACUUUCCAAGUGAUUUUUAUGACUGGCUAGAUUCAAGAACUAUUGUGGUAAAGUGAACUGACUCUUAGCUCUCAACUCAGAGGAAAAUCACCUGGUAAACAUUAGCAGCACUCCCAGAAUAAGUUAAUGACUCCAAGGCCAUUACCUCGUCUGUUUAAUUUCUCCAAUUACCUAUCUCUCAAUUAAUAGGGUCAUUAAGCACUUAAGACUUGCAUUAAUUUCGCUCCUCUCUUUCAAUUCUUUCAUUCUGCAUAAAUCUAGUUUGCAAAUGAUUACAUCUUGUUAAAUAUUGUACCCUCUCUGUUUACAAACAGAGCAAAUGACCUGGAAAACGUUUGGCAGCUGUCUUUGUUCAUUGGUGUUUAGUGGGAAAUAGCUGAGCAAACAGAAACACCAGCCCUGUAGGUGGCAUGGCGAAAACAGAGUACAGUCCAUUCAUUUGUUACCAAAGUAGCUUAAGAGAGGUAAAUGGAAUUAGUUUUAAAUGUCUUGAAGUUGCAUACAUUAAGGUCAAUAUACAAUUCUCCUCAACUUAAAAGAGUGUUUAAAUGAACUAAUUUUAGAUUCUUUGUUUCUUUCCACUAUUACUCUGCAAUAAAUUUCAAAAAGGGAAUAUAUACCUUACUCUCAAGAUACUUACAAGUUACUAUUCUAUAGUAACAGGAAGAAGAGAUACAAGUCCCUAUAAGAACAUCUAUUGAACAUUUGAAGAGGAGAUAAAAAAUUGAGAGGAAGAGAUCCUUCUUCUGGGGGAGAUCUGGAAAUUUUCAUGAAGAUAGCAGGGUCUUUAGCUUCCUCUUCAUUCAUCCAGUAAAUGCUUGCUGGUGCCAACCUCAUGCCAGAUCCACCAUACCAGGAGCUGGGGUAAGUUGACACAAUCCUCUGCUUAUGGAAUUUGACUUCCUGGAGGCUGUCAGUCAGUUAACAAUUAUUUAUUGUCUACCUACUAUGUGCCAAGCUUACAGACAGGCAAUUAUGAUUCAAAAUGAUAAAUGUGAAGCUAGGGGGGAGGACAUGGUCCAAUUAAUUCCUGACUAGGUUUUUAUUACAUUGAUGCUUUUCUAAACACAGACAUUUCAUUUGCAAGGACAGGAUCACAGGGCACUCACUCACUCUUAGCAAUAAUUAAUCAUGCUAUGGAACUUAACAGCAGGCAUUGUCUGGUGGACACUAGUCUUAACUCUGGCCUUCUCUGAGAAACAAUAAAGAAUCAUAACUCAGAAUCUACUGACAUAAUUCUCCACUCAUUAGUACCUCUGGAAAAGUUUUCUGAUAGAUCUAACAUGUAUUGACUCUUAUCUGUAAAUCUAGUAGCUAUGUCAAUGGUGAGAUUAUCCAGGAAUGUAAUCACAAUAUAGUGUACUUUGUUAUGUGAAGUUUAUAAUAAUAUUGGACUUUAAUUGACCUUACAUGGCAGGAUUUAAUCAACACUCAAUUUAAAUUAUGAAACAUUUAAAACACAUCAAAGUGCAGAAGAUAGAUACCUACAGAUAAUAUGAUGCCUACUCACCAUAGUACUAAGGCAGUAUUUUGCUAUUUUGUCUUUAGCUCUUCAUCUCUAUCAUUUUCUAAUGAAAUAAAACAUUAACAAAAUAGUUUAAAUCCUCCUUCAUGUCCCCAAACAAACCCUAUUCUUUAGGCUUCCUUCUUCCCAGAGGAAACUAGUACCUUGAAGUUGGUAAACUGGCAUCCAAACUUUCCCCACAACUCUACUUUCUCCUGAAACUGUGAUUUGACUUCAACACUUUGUAAACUUCUACAUUCUAUCAUCAGUUCUAAGAUGAAGUUCAAACUCCAUAAUCAUCAUGUUCUGCCCUCUGUAAUCUUUCUCUGCUACUUCUCAGCUCUCUGAACAAGCCUCUCAAUUUAUCCUGGUGCACAAUUGAGCUUAUUUUAGUUUUCUAGGCAUCCUGUGCUAUUUCUCUUGUGCUGCCUUUGGUUUGUAUUAUCCUGACCUGCAUCUAUGUCCUCUGUCUUUGCCUGGCCUAAUAUUCCUCAUCCUUAAAGGCUCAAUUCAGUCUCAGUCACUUCCUCUAGAAACUUCCAGUCCUAAUUUCUGUGCCUUCAAUAGUAAUAGUGUAUUGUUGGAAAAAUCGGUUUUGAAUAUCUGCACUUCUCACCAGGCAGAACUUCUUAAGAAAGUUCCUAAUACUUGUUUGCUUUGUAUACUCAUAGGACCUUACAUAUUUCUAGGUACAUUCAUAAUUUAUACAUGUUUGCUACAAGAGUAAAUGAAACAAUAAAUUGGGAGGUAGAUUGCAAGAACUCUGAAGGGUCUGAGAUUUUAACAUAUUGGGACUUAACAAGUCAGCUUGCCACUAUGUCACAGAUACUGACAGAAGCCAGGAGGCUGAAAACUCAUUUACAGCAAAAGCAGGAAGUAGGUUGUCAGUGGUUGCAUGGGUUCCUUAGCUCCUCCGUGUCAUGACACGGGUGUCCUAGACAUGCACUGCACACGUGUUGGAUGUGUUUCAGGAGAGGGACACUAAGCGGAGGAAAUGUCCCUCCUUACAGUAAUCUUGAUCUAGAAGAAAAGGUUAUUACAGUGUUCAAGGUUGCUCACUGCAAACACAACCUUGAGAAAUGUCCCAGAGAAGGAAUGAUCUGGGUCUUGAAUUCUUGAAGUAGGACCUGCAGGAGCUUCAGAGGCCCAUGGAGUAGUGUUUCCCAGCAGCAGAGAGAACAGCUAGCUGCAGGCACGACUUUCACUGUUAUGGUGAACAAAACAACAAGAACAACAACAAAAAACAGACAUAAGAACUUUCACAUUUUAACUUGCUCAGGGCUAACGUUUCCUUCUGUAACCUCUACCAUGGAAACUUACAACAAAAAUCUUAAAGACAUUGAUAAAAGUUAGCCAGGCACAGUGGUGCACAUCUGUAAUCCCAGCAGCUCAGGAGGCUAAGGCAGGAAGAUCACAAGCUCAAAGCCAGCCUCAUCAACUUAGUGAGGUUCUAAAAAAACUUAGCGAGAUCCUGUCUCAAAAUUUAAAAAUAUAUUUAUUUUGGGGAUGGGGAUGUGGCUCAGUGACUAGGUGCCCCUGGGUCUAAUCCCUGGUACUGUGCCCCCCCCUCCAAAAAAAAAAAAAAGAUUGCAGUAAAAGUUAAAGCAUUUAAGAAGUUAGAAAAUGUGUAACAUGCAGUAUGUUUUACAGAAAUCCUAGCUAAAAAUGUCUAAAAUAAAGAUUUGGUUCUUAAGACAGACAAUAAGGUUCAGAAAAUGAGAAAGUUGAGUCAAAUGGAACUAUUCAAUUCUUGACAAUGGUGGACACAGAUGAUUAAAAUGAUUAUAAUUACUUGUGAGAUUUAAGGUAAUGAUCUACUGCCAGAGUAGAUGUGUAUCUGUAUUACUAAAAACUUUAUUUUCACAUAUUUGCCAGAUGCCCAUGGUAUCAUUUUUGGGGCUACUUAUUAUUGUACUUCAAGUAAGUUAUAUAUUAUAUCUAGUUUACCUUGACAUUUGUAGAAUAUGUUGAGAAUAUCAUUUAAAGUACCAUCUCUCCUGUUUCAUCAUCAAUAAGAAGACUCAAAAUGGGCUGUGUCUUACAUUUUUUUGCCUUCUUAAAUGUUUUAUCUUUUACUGGAUACUUCAAGGUCUUCAUUAUGAGUUUUGGGGUCCCACUAUUGCGUGGGUAACAUAUUAAUGACUAUUUUGUACUUAAAGUAAUCCUUGGUGACAGGGACCAGAGCUCUAAUGCACAUGUACCAAUAACAUGUAUUAUUUAUUACAUUUCAACUUCCAACUUCUAAAAUAAUUCUUCCCUACAAAGACCACAGUGACUUUCAAGUGAGAUUUUAAGUUCUGAUUUAAAUUAAUCUUUAAAAAUGUUUACUUGUGUUUUGUCUUUUUUACCUCUGUUUCCCCACUACUCUCUAAGUCACAUAACUCAUAGGAAAUAUUUAACCAAUGUCCACUUGACAAAGGUACCAAUUUUAUAAAUCCUGACUGGUGAAUAAAAUUAACUCACUUUCUAUAUGUUUUCAGAAAAAGAGUUUGCUUCCUGCGUAUGUGGGAUCACCAUGAUGAGAAGAUGAACACUUCCAUCUCAUGCCUGAGGUAAUUCAUCUGGAUGCCAUUUAUGGUUGGGUUGCUUCCCAAAUAUUGAAGAAGAUAUCUAAGGAAGCCCCACCUGUAAAACAAAUUGAAUGACAACGAAGUGAGGAGAGUGAUCAGAGAAAGAGAGAGAUGAGGGUGGAACAUAAAAGGGCCAGCAUAAAAAAACCCCGAAUGUUCCAGGGGGAAUAUUUGUUGGUCUGGGAAGCAACUGCUGAAGCAAAGCACUACAAAUGGUGACAUGGGAAAGGGCAUCGGGAUGUGCAGAGGCAAAGAGGAGGCUGGAGGCCAGGGCUGAGGCCAUAUGGUUUAGACACAGUUGGGAAAGAACUUUCCAGGGGACAUGUGCCAGAAAAUGACACAAGGGAAGGCAGACUGGAACUUAGGGAUAAAGGGACAAAGUUGAGGUGGAAGGCAGUGAGCGUGGAGUUGGUUGCUGACUGAGGGAGGGCUGUGUAGAGAAGGAGAUGGAGCUCGGAUGGCAGAAUGAAGUCUGGUUCUUGUAGAGGGAAAGAACUGGGACUCCCAGUAGAGGAUGGGAGGAGAAAAUCUGGGUGUGUGGGAUGUUUGAGCCUCUGGCUGUCUAGGAAGGAGGCCAUGCUGAACCAGGACCAGGACUCUGGAACCAGGAAAGAGAUUUCAGUGACACAGAAACAAGUUUUGCCUUUCCAUAAACCAUGUAAAAUUGUCCUGGAUACUACAUAUGGUCAUGUGUCUACCACAUUAUGUGAAAUCAUGUCAAUAAUCUUAUUUUUAAACAGUCAUGGACUAAUCUAUUAUAUGGUCCCAAACUCUUUUUGUUAGAUCUGUGGAAUGUUUCUAGUGUAUGUUAUUAUAAUUAUGCUGCACUGGUUGUCUACAUGGCUAAAAUCUUUGCUUGAAGUCAGAAUAAUUUCCUUAAGAGAAAUUACUAGGCGUGUGAGAAGGGCGUGGGGAAGGGGAAGCCAGAACAAAGGGUGGAAACAAUGCAGAGACUGCAGAGAUGUACUUUUCAAUUUGCCCCAAUUAACACUCUGCCAUAAAGGUAUGAUGGUAUCUGCUUCCCCAUGUCUUCAUUGCAUAUGACACAUUUCCAUCAGUUUUAUUUCCCAGUGUUUCCCUCUACCCUCUCCUCCUGCCUUCUCUUAUCCCCUUUCUUUACCCUCAUGGCCUGUCUUUUAUUUUCAUGACAUCCCUUUUUUCUUUUUACUUUUUUACCCCUAGAUUUCACAUAUAAAGGAAACCAUGUAACACUUGUCAAAAUUUUUGAAUCUGACUUAUUUUGCUUAACAUGGUGCGCUCAAGUUCCACCCAUUUUCCUGCAAAUGGCAUAAUUUCAUUCUACUUUAUGGCUGGAUAAAAUUCCAUUGUGUAUGCAGACCACAUUUUCAUUACCCAUUCAUCUGUCAAGGGACACCUUGGCUACUGUGCUGAUAUUAAUUCUUUUGGGUCCAUACCAAGGAGUGGUAGAGCUGAAUCAUAACCCACAAACUCAUUAAUACUGGACAGUUUUUUGAAAGAAAAAUGAUGAAUUUGAAUUGCAUGAUAAAUAGAAAAGGGAUCCUCCUUUAAGAAGUGACAGGUCCAUUCCAGAUACCCAGACAUCUAGAGUCAGGGGCAUCACUACCUCAGUGCUGCCCUCUGGUGGUACCUAAAAAUGACAAAACAAAGUCAAGUCCUAAAGAGACUGAACACUUCAGUGUUAAUUUAUUUAGGGCUAGAGUUCUAGAAAGUGGGGUGUAAAAAAACAAAGAAAAAAUGUCUUUCUCUGAGAUAUUGGAGGAUAUGAGAACUACAGAAAGAUAUUUUUACCCACAGUUAGAGAAUGUGACAUGUGGUGAGCCGCUUCUGCCGUUUCUGCAGACUAUGGUCGCCAUUACAAGAUGGCGCUGGCUCCGCUGUGGUCUGUGACAAACAACUCCUUAUUUGGGAGAGUUGGCGCAUGGUUUUUCACCACCCUAUGAGAAAGCUCCACGUGGCAGCUUCGCAUUGGGGCUUGAGAUGCUUUAUUAAGGCUGGGAGGGGCAUCCGAGAGGGGAGAAGAAGAAAUAUCAAGGGCCUGAAUAAACUGCUGAAAGAAGAUUCCUGAGUUGCGUCUUCCUUGCGGGCAAGGGGUCACGACAAGUGGUGCCGAAACCCGGGAACCAGAACUUUCAGCAGUCAGGGGUGGUGCACCGGUUAGUCCCAGGUAAGUGGGAUCCGCGACCAAAGCGGGGUUAGUCCCAAUAAGUGGGAUCCGCGAUCAAAGCGGGGUUAGUCCCAGGUAAGUGGGAUCCGCGACCAAAGCGGGGCAGCUCCUCUGUAAAGAAAGAGAGAGCAUUACAUUUUAUUGCAGCUGCACUGUGUACUUUCGCUUCUACUUUCGCUUUUGUUUUCUGUGUUUCUUUUGUUGUGUCAUUUCGCUUUUGUUUUUUGUGCUUCUUUUGUUGUUGUGUCAUGGGUGCCGCAUCUUCAAGUCCGCUUCUCCUGGCCCUAGAUGGCCUGUUACGUUCCAAGGGCCUGGAAGUGAAACAUAGUACUUUACAGAGAUUUUUACAGAAGAUAGAUAUCGCUGCACCGUGGUUUGCAUUUUCGGGCAGCCUUACUGUACCUAGUUGGGAUAAAUUAGGCAAAGAUCUUGACUUUGCUUCUGAGCAGGGCAUAUUAGAGGGUGGGGUGAUACCCCUUUGGAAAAUGGUCCGUAGUUGCCUUACAGAUGGCAGAUGUCAGGAAGCACUUACUAAAGGACAGGAAGUUCUAGAGCAAUUACAUGAGGAGAAAUCGGAGACGGCAGGAAGUGAGGUGCCUCAGGAGGAUGGGAGUGUGCGGAGCGUGAAACAGGGGAGGAGACGAUUGUAUCCAGAUCUCAGUGCGCUGCGCACACCCCCAUGUGAAAGUGGGUCAGAGGAAGAGGAGGAUGAGGAGGAAGAGCUCGGGAGGCUGUCUCGUCAGCUAGAGAGUUUAGCUAUAGGAGAAGGGAACAGAAAUAAACA